AGUGAACGCUGGCGGUGGGCCUAACACAUGCAAGUCGAACGGCAGCACAGUAAGAGCUUGCUCUUACGGGUGGCGAGUGGCGGACGGGUGAGGAAUACAUCGGAAUCUACUUUUUCGUGGGGGAUAACGUAGGGAAACUUACGCUAAUACCGCAUACGACCUACGGGUGAAAGCAGGGGAUCUUCGGACCUUGCGCGAUUGAAUGAGCCGAUGUCGGAUUAGCUAGUUGGCGGGGUAAAGGCCCACCAAGGCGACGAUCCGUAGCUGGUCUGAGAGGAUGAUCAGCCACACUGGAACUGAGACACGGUCCAGACUCCUACGGGAGGCAGCAGUGGGGAAUAUUGGACAAUGGGCGCAAGCCUGAUCCAGCCAUACCGCGUGGGCGAAGAAGGCCUUCGGGUUGUAAAGCCCUUUUGUUGGGAAAGAAAAGCAGCAGGUUAAUACCCCGCUGUUCUGACGGUACCCAAAGAAUAAGCACCGGCUAACUUCGUG
rnacentral:rRNA from 1 species